rnacentral:rRNA from 1 species
AGAAGAUGGUAAGGGCAAACGGUGGAUGCCUUGGCACAAGAAGCCGAUGAAGGACGUGAUAAGCUGCGAUAAGCCACGGUAAGGAGCACAUAUCCUGUGACCCGUGGAUUUCCGAAUGGGUAAACCCACCAAGAGUCAUUUCUUGGUACUUCCUGCUGAAUAUAUAGGCAGGAUAGAGGUAACCGGGGGAACUGAAACAUCUAAGUACCCCGAGGAAGAGAAAUCAAACGAGAUUCCCCUAGUAGUGGCGAGCGAACGGGGAUAUAGGACAAACCGUCAGUUGCGCAAGCGCUGGCGGGGGUGUAGGAACAUUCAUUGUGGAGUUACAAAACUUCGUGGAAGCAGAAUAGCUUGGAAAAGCUGGCGAGACAGGGUAAAAGCCCCGUACGCGAAUCUGCGAAGACUCCCGAGUGGCACCUGAGUACUGCCGGACACGUGAAACCCGGUGGGAACCUGGGGGGUCCACCCUCCAAUCCUAAAUACUCUCUUGUGACCGAUAGUGAACCAGUACCGUGAGGGAAAGGUGAAAAGCACCCCUAGCGGGGAGUGAAAUAGUACCUGAAACCGUUUGCCUACAAGCAGUCGGAGCAGACUUUUGUCUGUGACGGCGUGCCUUUUGUAGAAUGAGCCAGCGAGUUACGGCAUGUGGCAAGGUUAAGCUAAAAAGCGAGCCGCAGCGAAAGCGAGUCUGAAUAGGGCGAGUGAGUCGCAUACCGUAGACGCGAAGCCAGGUGAGCUAUCCAUGAGCAGGCUGAAGCGGGGGUAAGACCCCGUGGAGGGCCGAACCCACUUAGGUUGAAAACUGAGGGGAUGACUUGUGGAUAGGAGUGAAAGGCCUAUCAAACCUGGAGAUAUCUCGUUCUCUCCGAAAUAGCUUUAGGGCUAGCCUCGGAUGUUUACCAAUGGGGGUAGAGCACUGAAUAGUUGCGGGGGCUUCACCGCCUACCAAGAUUAAUCAAACUCCGAAUACCAUUGGUCUAGAAUCCGGGAGUCAGAAUAUGUGGGCUAAGCUGUGUAUUCGAAAGGGAAACAGCCCAGACCGCCCGCUAAGGUCCCAAAAUCAAUGCUAAGUGGCAAAGGAUGUGCGUUUGCUCAGACAACCAGGAUGUUGGCUUAGAAGCAGCCAUUCAUUUAAAGAGUGCGUAAUAGCUCACUGGUCGAGUGGACAUGCGCCGACAAUAUACGGGGCUAAGCAUUGUACCGAAGCGGCGGAUCAGUACUUUGUACUGGUGGUAGGAGAGCUUUCUGUACGGGUUGAAGCAGUUGGAUAACCAACUGUGGACUGUCCAGAAGUGAGAAUGCUGGCAUGAGUAACGAGAGACAUGUAAAAAACAUGUCCGCCGUAAACCCAAGGUUUCCUGGGCAAGGCUAAUCCUCCCAGGGUUAGGCGGGAGCUAAGGCAAGGCCGGAAGGCGUAGUCGAUGCACAACAGGUAGAAAUUCCUGUCCCUCCAAAAGAGCGUUAUCACCAAUGGGGUGACGGAGCAGGGUAGCUAGGCGGGGUUCUGGACGUCCCCGUGAUGGCACGUAGGCUGAGAAGUAGUGAAAUGCGCUUCUCAUGUGGCUGAGGUGUCGGACGAAGCAAUUGAGUGAAGCUAGUAAGCCCAUACUUCCAAGAAAAACCUCUAGGGAGCUCUGAGGAGCCCGUACCGCAAACCGACACAGGUGGGUGGGUAGAGCAUACCAAGGCGAUCGGGAGAACUAUGGUUAAGGAACUCGGCAAAAUUGCCCCGUAACUUCGGGAGAAGGGGUGCCGGUUUCGGUGAAGGGAUUUACUCCCCGAGCUAAGAUCGGUCACAGUAAAUAGGUCCAAGCGACUGUUUAUCAAAAACACAGGACUCUGCUGAAGUCGUAAGACGACGUAUAGGGUCUGACGCCUGCCCGGUGCCGGAAGGUCACGAGGAGUUGUUAGCAUUAGCGAAGCAGCGAAUCUAAGCCCCGGUAAACGGCGGCCGUAACUAUAACGGUCCUAAGGUAGCGAAAUUCCUUGUCGGGUAAGUUCCGACCUGCACGAAUGGUGUAAUGAU